rnacentral:lncRNA from 10 species
GACCCUACGAGCCAGGUGUGGGAUGUAAUCUCAUGGUGAGCCAUUUUUUUAAGCCGGUCUGAAAAGCGCAAUAUUCGGGUGGGAGUGACCUGAUUUUCCAGAGCUGGUAUACGAUGCCUCUCCAGAAUCACCUUGUUCUUUCUGGAUCUAUUCAGAAUCUGAAACUCCUAGAAAAGAAAAAUGCAAGAUGCAUGAGUUGAGACAGGAUCUCACUAUGUUGCCUUGCAUGGACUGGAACUCCUUGGCUCAAGAAAUCUUCUUGCCUCAGCCUCCCAAAUAGCUAGGACUAUAUGCACAUGCUACUACACCUAGUGGAAAAUGAAGCACAGAGAAGUUCAGUGAUGGACCUCAGAUACUACCAGCAGAAAGCAGAAGAGCUAGGAUUUCAACUUAGGAUGUCUGGAUCCACAGUCUGCACUCCUACCCACUAUGCUACACUGCCUCUAACUAUGAGGAAGCAAGGGCAUUUUUUUUUUUCUGGUGACUAAAAAGAUAAGAGUUCAAGUAUGUGGCUCCUGAUAAUCUAACUUAUACAGCCUGGAAAAAUUGAUAGUUACUAUAUCCAGACUGUCUCAUUCAAUUAACAGUUUCUCAAGUAAUCUUCUAGUUACUGUCGUAUUUUAUCUGUAUCAACUUAGCAAACCAAGUCCAAAACAUUUUAUAUGUGUCUAUCUUUCCUGCUGUUCAUAUUAUUGAGUUAGCCAAAUAAAUUCAAUUUUUUUUCUACUGUUUGUUUCUCACAAAUUAUGACUGGCAUCUGUAUAUCUGGGAAGGUUCUACUGCAUUGCUGUAUUAUCACUAUAUAAUUAUAAGAGAUCACAGAGUGCAUUGAUGAAGGCCAUGUUGAGACAUGAUGAAACAGGGUCCAUUGUGACUGGGUGAAACUGUCUUCAAUUUCCUGGUCUAUAAAGCAGAGGAGGUCUGACUUCAGUGAAGAUCCAAAGGCAGAGGCCCCACAGGAGUCCUUCUGCUCCCUGGAGACAAACUAGACUGUAACCUCCAUGCAGGUAUGGAUUAUUUGCCUGCUGUGUUUAUUCUUAGCUCCAACUCCAGCACCCAGAAGAAUAUCUGACACACAAUUGAAGAAAUUGAGGAUCAAGGAGUUAAUAAUUUGCCCAAGGCCGCCUAAAUAAUGGUCUGUUUUGUCAAGCAUGCUGAAAGGAAAGGACUGACAUCUAAAUGAGAAUGAAGUUGGUUGCUCCCUUGAGUGUACCAGGCUGGAUGUACUGAGGCAGAGUUUGGAUCUCUGAAGUCUCCAUCUGGCUUUGUGGGUCUUUAGUGCUGGGAUUAUGCAGUGACACCCCAAAUAUACACAUGCUUCAUCGGAGGCAGAGUCACCUCUGCUGCAUGGCUUUAUUUUAAAGGUGAGAGACAUUGUGACGAUGCUGCUGGAUGUUAUGCCCACCUAAUGAAGUAUCCAUAAAAACCCAAAAGGAACAGGUUUGAGGACCUUCCUGAUAGCUGAACACGGGGAGGUCCCUGGAGGGUGGCUGCCAGAGAGGGAAUGGAAACUCCACAUCCCUUCCUACACACCUUGCCCUAUUCAUCUCUUUAUUUGGCUGUUCAUCUGUAUCCUUUGUAAUAUCCUUGAAUAUAAGCUGGUAAAUGCAAGUGUUUUCCUGGAUUCUGUGGGCAGCUCUAGCAAAUUAAUUGAACACAAGGAGCAGGUCUGGGAAUCUUGAUUUAUAGCCAGUGGGUCAGAAGUAUAAAUAGCAACUUAGUUC